rnacentral:rRNA from 1 species
GACAGAGGAUGCAAGCGUUAUCCGGAAUGAUUGGGCGUAAAGCGUCUGUAGGUGGCUUUUUAAGUCCGCCGUCAAAUCCCAGGGCUCAACCCUGGACAGGCGGUGGAAACUACCAAGCUGGAGUACGGUAGGGGCAGAGGGAAUUUCCGGUGGAGCGGUGAAAUGCGUAGAUAUCGGGAAGAACACCAAAGGCGAAAGCACUUUGCUGGGCCGAAACUGACACUGAUAGACGAAAGCUAGGGGAGCGAAUGGG